GACUCUCGGCAACGGAUAUCUCGGCUCUCGCAUCGAUAAAGAACGUAGCGAAAUGCAAUACUUGGUGUGAAUUCUAGAAUCCCAUUAACCAUUGAGUCUUUGAAUGCAAGAUGCGCCCGAAGCCAUUAGGCCGAGGGCACGUCUACCUGGGCGUCA
rnacentral:rRNA from 1 species